UACGUAGGGUGCAAGCGUUGUUCGGAAUCAUUGGGCGUAAAGCGCGCGUAGGCUGCUAAUUAAGUCGGGUGUGAAAUCCCUGGGCUCAACCGAGGAAGUGCAUUCGAAACUGAUUAGCUAGAAGACGGUAGAGGAAGGUGGAAUUCCUAGUGUAGAGGUGAAAUUCGUAGAUAUUAGGAGGAAUACCGGUGGCGAAGGCGGCCUUCUGGGCCGUGCUUGACGCUGAGGCGCGAGAGCGUGGGUAGCAAACAGG
rnacentral:rRNA from 1 species